GUCCGGUGAUUUUCCAGUGAAGAGACCCACAGAGGAGGAAGAGACCGAGACUGGCAAAGAGCCGGAUUGCAUUUAUGCUGUUAUUCCUGGAUGGACUCCAAUGUUAGCCCAAUGUGACCCGAAAUUUAACAGAUUCUUCUGUGAAGGUCAUAGCUGAAACUUGUUCUGGGUUAUGUAUGCUUGACCUAGUUAACCUGAAUAAGCCGACAGAUUCUACUUUAGGAUAUCUUGCAAAUGGUUGCUGAGCAAUUCAAACAAUAAAAUUUUGUCGCAAUUCAUUCAGGAACUUAAAAUUGGGAAAGUCUGCGUAUUCAAUUUUAGGUUGAAGAGAUAGCUGAGAAGCUUUGUGAAUUACCUUGAGCAAUGCAUGUCACCGGAAAGCUAAGAUGAUAAAGAAUUUGUUCAAGGAAUUUGCCAACUAUCAAUGAAGACUUCAUAAGAGGCGUGUUUUGGAACAAUAUGUGUAUCAGCUUUUGAGUUCCCAAGUAGAUAGGGCUUGUAGUUCCCAAGCAGAUAGGGCUUGUACACUAGAAUGCUUUUCUUGUUUUAAUAUUGGCUUGGAUGAUUAGGAAAUGCUUCCUUUUAACAUUUGAGUUUUAUAGUAUGGG